UGGGAUGUAGCUCAGUGGCAAAGCGUUUGCCUAGCAAGUACAACGUCCUGGGUUCAAUCCCCAGUACCAA
rfam:Dipodomys ordii contig_70931, whole genome shotgun sequence.